CACAGUUGAAAAUCAGUCUGUUGGUGCGUGAUGAAGAGGACGAGCCCUCGCUCAUUUUACUUUUCUAUUGGACAUACUUCUUUCCGUAUUAAAUAUUAUAGUUUAAUUACAUUUUAGGGUAUCUGAGGAUUAAAUAGAAACGUAGUUUGACUUGUUUGAACAAAGUUUAGCGGUAGAUUUUUGUAUUCCUUUGUCUGCAUAUUGAAUGAGUGGAUUACUGAAAUCGAUGGCGCCAACUAAACUGACUUUUUGGGAUAUAAAGAAGGAUUUUAUCUAACAAAACGACCAUGCAUGUUGUAGCUGGGACCCUUGGGAUUGCAAACAGAGGAAGAUUUUCAAAAAGUGGACUCCAAUGAAGUUGUAAAAACAUCUCAAGGAUGAUCAAUGGAAACAGGAUGCACCUGAUCUCAAUUUCGAGUCUCAUAGCAAAAGGUGUGAAUACUUAUGUAUAUAAGGUAUAUCCAUUUUUUUUAUUUGAUAAAUUUGCCAACAUUUCUAAAAACCUUUUUUCACUUGACCAUUAUGGGGUAUUUUGUGUAGAUUGAGAGGGAAAAAUAUUUAUUUAAUCCAUUUUAGAAUAAUGUAACGUAAUAAUGUGGAAAAAAGUCAAGGUUUCUGAAUACUUUCCGAAUGCACUGUAGAUUGCUUUCAUUUCUGAUUCUGUUCCUCGAAUAAUUUCGUUAUUUUUCGGUUCUGUUCCCUGAACAGGUUGCGAGUUCAUUAAGUAGUCAUCAGGUGACAUGCUGGGUUCUGAGGUUUUAUCUGGUGAGUUUAAAGUCAAGGUUGAGGCUGCUGCUGUCGAAAGGCUGGUUUCUGUGCUUGAGAGAAAUAUUGAUCAGAAGUUGUUUUCAGCCAGAAACAAUCAUGUCUGCCAGGAAGCUCUUACAGACUAAUUGCAAAACUACCCUUUCCCCCUCUCUAUUUCCAGUCAUAGUGCUACCGUGUAAAGACACUGGCAUCUGACUGCCUCCGCUAGAUUUGCCCCCAUUCUUUAUUACCAAUACACUGAACUCUACCCCACACAUUGGAC
rnacentral:lncRNA from 1 species